rnacentral:lncRNA from 1 species
GUACUUGAGAAUGGGUCUCAGUACAGGUGUCAACCUUUUAGAAGCGACCUUGUUCUUCCUUUCCUUCCGAGAGCUCGAGCAGAGAGGACUGUGAUGAGACAGGAUAACAGAGAUACUGUGGAUGAUACUGUUAGUAGCGAAUCGCUUCAGUCUUUGUUCUCAGAAUGGGACAAUCCAGUAUUUGCCCGUUAUCCAGAGGUGGGAACCUGCUCGUGCUGGUGGAUCAGCACGCUGCCCAUGAGCGUAUACGUCUGGAGCAGCUUAUCAUUGAUUCCUACGAGAAGCAACAGGCACAAGGCUCUGGUCGGAAAAAAUUACUGUCUUCUACUCUAAUUCCUCCGCUAGAGAUAACAGUGACAGAGGAACAAAGGAGACUCUUAUGGUGUUACCACAAAAAUCUGGAAGAUCUGGGCCUUGAAUUUGUAUUUCCAGACACUAGUGAUUCUCUGGUCCUUGUGGGAAAAGUACCACUAUGUUUUGUGGAAAGAGAAGCCAAUGAACUUCGGAGAGGAAGAUCUACUGUGACC